CCCCUGGUAGCUCAGCUUGGUGAGAGCGCUGGUCUGAAAAACCAGAGGUCGUCAGUUCUAGGACUUACGCACUGAA
rnacentral:tRNA from 1 species